AAUAGAUACCCUGGUAGUCCACGCCGUAAACGAUGAGUGCUAAGUGUUGGGGGGUUUCCGCCCCUCAGUGCUGCAGCUAACGCAUUAAGCACUCCGCCUGGGGAGUACGGUCGCAAGACUGAAACUCAAAGGAAUUGACGGGGGCCCGCACAAGCGGUGGAGCAUGUGGUUUAAUUCGAAGCAACGCGAAGAGCCUUACCAGGUCUUGACAUCCCGGUGACCACUAUGGAGACAUAGUUUCCCCUUCGGGGGCAACGGUGACAGGUGGUGCAUGGUUGUCGUCAGCUCGUGUCGUGAGAUGUUGGGUUAAGUCCCGCAACGAGCGCAACCCUUAUUCUUAGUUGCCAUCAUUCAGUUGGGCACUCUAAGGAGACUGCCGGUGAUAAACCGGAGGAAGGUGGGGAUGACGUCAAAUCAUCAUGCCCCUUAUGACCUGGGCUACACACGUGCUACAAUGGACGGUACAAACGGUUGCCAACCCGCGAGGGGGAGCUAAUCCGAUAAAACCGUUCUCAGUUCGGAUUGUAGGCUGCAACUCGCCUAC
rnacentral:rRNA from 1 species